CGUUAAGAAGCUAAAGUGGAUAAAAGCGUUGGCCUUUUAAGCCAAUGAUUGGUGACUUCCAACCACCCUUAAUGA
rnacentral:tRNA from 2 species